UUGUUAAGGCCAUAGUUGUUUUUUUAUUUGUUUUGCGUCCGCGUGCGGGUAGGUUUUCGGCCAAUUUGUGUCAAAAACAAACACAAACUUUUUUUUGUUCGUCAGUAGAAAAUCCGUAUUUUCCGGGUUUUUCCAGCCGUGUUUUUGUGUAUUCUUAUACUCAAAUCUAUUUUGCGCUUUAAAUAACAAGUACGCUCCUUAUUUAAAGCGUUUAAGCGAUCUUGACUUCGAUACAUGUGACAGCAGAAAUGGCCAGUAUAAAUGUGCCGGCGAGCGAGAUCGUUUGUGUUUCACUUUUCAAAGAUAAAAGGAUCGUUCUGGCUCCAUAUGCCUUUCCGCUCGCCGGCACAGAAACUUUUUCUCAGAUCCUAGAGAGCCUUUACGUAGCCAGCAUAAGAGACACGUUAAAUACAAGAUUCAAUGAACCUAUCACCAUAGGGGAUAAAACUCUGAUAAAAUGUUAUGUUUCAUCUAGCUCUAACGGGGAAAAAAUUGAAAUGAAUACAUCUCUCAAGGCUAUAGAUGCUGUUAAAAUGUUUGGUGCAUAUGUAAGCUUUGAGCUGACUGACAAAUUUUGUGAAAAAACUAAUUCAAAUCAACAAAAGAGUGCCUUUGAUGUGCUUAUGUCUUCAAAAACAC
rnacentral:lncRNA from 1 species